GAAAGAAAAUCCGUUAAGGAUCUGUGGACUGGAGCAGAGAUCAGGCUAUCCCUGGCUGGCGCCCGGGGCUCCCCCAGACUCCUCUCCCAGCCACAGGGCCGAGGGGCCAGUGCUUUUGGCUGACACCCCGCCUCCCGCCUGCAGCCCCAGUUUCCAGCCCUUGGCACAGAUAGGCUCUUGCGAAAGGGACGACUCCAACGCAGAGAUGCCCAGUCAGCACUGUGCCCUCUCCCGCCAAACGCGCUUACGCUGCCCAAGUGCACACUACGGUCUCCUUCACCCACAGGCUGCUCUAUGUGAGCGUGCCGCGCCCGCGGUCCCAGCUCCGUGCGUGGAGUUACUACUUCUGGGGUGCAAGCCCUGGUCCCGCUGGUCAUGGAGGAGGGCAUUGUGCCCAGCCCAGCCCUCUCUACUCCCUUACUGCCAGAGAUGCGGUCUCAGUAUGUUGUCCAGGCUGAUCUCAGAUCCUUGGCCUCAAAGGAUCCUCCUGUCUGGGUCUCUCAAACUGCUGGGAAUACAAGCAUGAGCCACCACAGCUGACGAACAGCUAUUUUUGAAUAAAGUAAAGGAAGAGAGGGAGGGAGAGAAGAAGGAAGAAGAAAAAAAAGAAAAGAAGUGAAGGAGGGUUAACUACAGCCAAAGAAAAAGAAGCAGCCCAACAGAGAGCUCAGGAAAAUUACACUUCAUACAUCCAACUGCUAUGGAAGAGGAUGGAGGUGAGAAGCGGAGGGAGAAAGAAGGAUGUGAUAUUCCAUCCCCAUUAAGAAAAUUUUUCAAGCCCCCAAUCUGAACCUACUGAAUCAGAAUUUGAGGAGAUGAGACCUGUAUACCUAGAUUUUCAAAAGACUCUCAACUCUAUCCACUCUCAUCACUUCUAUUUAACAUUAUACUGGAGGUCCUGGCCAGGGAAGUAAGGACACAAUUGGAGAAACUGGUUAUUUUGCCAAGGCUUUGAUGGGAAUGGCGUGGUUCCCUUUAAGGAAGCAAAUUUGACUUAUAGAGCCAAUAAAAGCCCCUUGGGAAAACUGGCCUCAUACCUUGUCUACACAGUACUUGUACAGGGCUCCUGACCUAUGAUGGACCCUUGAAGGAAGAAAACAUCGAAGGAGGAAAGAGAAGGCUUUGACAUAAAUUGAGAGGAACAAGGAGAAAGAGGUUCGUUGCUCUGGAAACCAAGGAAGAAUCAAAGAGGAGAAUGGAAGAUGUCACAUAUCUAAGAAUUCUUUAUUGGAUUGGGCAAUUGAGGAUUCACAGAUGAUCAGAGGAGCCAGAGACAAAUCAGAGUGGUCAGUCUCUGCCUACCAAAUUCAGAAUCUCUUGACAGGGUUCUGGUUUGGGUAUGACUACAUUAGUAGCUAGGGUUAUCCUACCGUGUAAAAAUACUUAGAUGAUGAUUAUUUUUUUAAUGCCAGUAGUCAAUGAAGCAUUCUUCAAUGUCUUCUUCCUGAAUUUCUCCCACCUUUUGAUCUGAAAUGAAACCUUAGGGGAACUCACCCAAUUAGCCUCUAUGCCACAGUCUAAGCCUCCAAAUUCUAGCAAUUAGGUAUUUUAUAGCAGCAAAUGCAAUUCGUUUACCCAAGAUAGGUUACAUAAGGUAGGCUAGAACAUUCUGGUUUCAGUCACUUGUUGUCCUUUGGACUUAGCUGAGGAGCUUCUUGAGCCUAUGCCCUGCCCCAGAGAUUCUGAUUCUGACUAAUCAGUCCGGUUAAAUUUGCACAGGGGUUAGGCCCAGUCAUCGUUAUUUUUUAGGAUCUCAGAAUACAGAAGGAGUUAAGAACCAGUAAGUGGAAUAUUCGAAUGCAUUAUAUCCUUGGUAGUCAAAGUGAUCCACACAGCAUAAUUUGUGUCAUUCACCUGCAGCUUGUUAGACAUGCAGAAUCCCAGGCACCACCCAGA
rnacentral:lncRNA from 1 species